ACUCCUACGGGAGGCAGCAGUGGGGAAUAUUGCACAAUGGGGGAAACCCUGAUGCAGCCAUGCCGCGUGUGUGAAGAAGGCCUUCGGGUUGUAAAGCACUUUCAGUAGGGAGGAAGGUAGUGUAGUUAACACCUGCAUUAUUUGACGUUACCUACAGAAGAAGCACCGGCUAACUCCGUGCCAGCAGCCGCGGUAAUACGGAGGGUGCAAGCGUUGUCCGGAUUUAUUGGGUUUAAAGGGUGCGUAGGCGGCCUGUUAAGUCAGUGGUGAAAGGUAUCAGCUCAACUGAUGACGUGCCAUUGAAACUGGCGGGCUUGAGUACAGACGAGGUAGGCGGAAUUUAUGGUGUAGCGGUGAAAUGCAUAGAUACCAUAAAGAACACCGAUAGCGAAGGCAGCUUACUAGGCUGAGACUGACGCUGAGGCACGAAAGCGUGGGGAGCGAACAGGAUUAGA
rnacentral:rRNA from 1 species